rnacentral:tRNA from 1 species
GCGGCAGUAGUUCAGUGGCAGAAUGUUUCCUUCCCAAGGAAAAGGUCGCCGGUUCAAAUCCGGUCUGCCGCUCCA